CCUACGGGAGGCAGCAUUGAGGAAUAUUGGUCAAUGGACGAGCGUCUGAACCAGCCAAGUAGCGUGAAGGAUGACUGCCCUAUGGGUUGUAAACUUCUUUUAUAUGGGAAUAAAAUGUUCCACGUGUGGGCUUUUGUAUGUACCAUAUGAAUAAGGCUCGGCUAACUCCGUUCCCGCAGCCGCGGUACUACGGAGGAUCCGAGCGUUAUCCGGAUUUAUUGGGUUUAAGGGGAGCGUAGGUGGAUUGUUAAGUCAGUUGUGAAAGUUUGCGGCUCAACCGUAAAAUUGCAUUUGAAACUGGCAGUCUUGAGUACAGUAGAGGUGGGCGGAAUUCGUGGUGUAGCGGUGAAAUGCUGAGAUAUCACGAAGAACUCCGAUUGCGAAGGCAGCUCACUGGACUGCAACUGACACUGAGGCUCGAAAGUGUGGGUAUCAAACAGGAUUAGAUACCCUUGUAGUC
rnacentral:rRNA from 1 species